rnacentral:lncRNA from 1 species
CUCCUUUUGAAAUGUCAUUAUAUUUCAGUGUCCUUUUCCCCCGCCUGUCGGGUACUGCUUUUCCACAGUUCUGUUAAUGAUGGCAAGGACAGGUGUUUGGCAGGCGUUAGCGAAGGACACUGUGGGCUAGCUAGCAUCCCUCCCUCUCCUGUAUCAUUCAGCUAGUUAGGACACCGGUACACAGCAAGUGGGAGGCGAGGACGACACCAGUAGCUAGCUCAGAUAAUACUCAGAUAAUACUUUUAUUUCCCUUUUGACCCACAAUGUAAAUGCAGGAAUGCCCACAUGCAAAAAUGCCCCACAAUCACACUUGGCUAUUGGUGGAGAUCUUUUCGGAUCUGUGUCUGGUGCCACAGAGUCGUAGACUCUGCAUGCAAGCUUUGAGGACCAUCUCUGAAACUUGUAGAAGGUUCUAGAAACUCGGCAUUGCUGUAGGUAGCAUGAACCAUGAAAAUGCAGCGGUAGCGUGUGCAUACAGACUAUGCCCUCUCUAUCAAUAGCAUUUCCUGCAUAAACACUCGUGCAAUCAAGGUGAUACCGGCACUAAGGCAAUAUAAACAAUAUGCACAAUCUAAAAUAUACACAGACCUUAGCUGCAAGAUGACAUAAUACUAUUACAAUACAGUUACACGUGUAGAAAAUUAGCUAUAAGUAGGCCUGCUAUUAGUAACUAAGCACCAUUUAGCAGCAUAAAACCCACAACAGUAGGCCCCACAACUCACUUUCUUAGAUGCAUGCAGAAUCUUCAGAGUAAACACAGUCAAUUUAAGCUUUAGCUUUCCGUAUGCUUCCCAGUUGAUAAAGUUUGCGCAUACACUAUAUAUACAAAAGUAUGUGGGACACCAUUUCAAAUAGUGGAUUUGGCUAUUUCACCCCAUUCGAACACACAGCCAUUCAAUCUCCAUAGACAAACAUUGGCAGUAGAAUGGCCUUACUGAAGAGCUCAGUGACUUUCAUCGUGGCACUGUCAUUGGAUGCCACCUUUCCAACAAGUCAGUUCGUAAAAUGUCUGCCCUGCUAGAGCUGCCCUGGUCAACUUACAUGCACUCACCUCUGAGCUGUCUCUGCUAAGCCUAGCACCCUGUCCCACAGCACUGGUACCAGAAGACCAGGGGACCACACUGCCUGUGCUGGGCCCAGCAACAUCCUAGUUGUGAAUGAAUAAACACAUUUAUUAGAUAAAGAGGAAAGAUUACUGAAUAAAUGCCUAAUAGAUGACCAUUGGCUCAUAAUAUCUUAUGAAAGCCCAACUACUUAUUUUGCAUAAGUACUUAAGUUCAUAUAUUGAGUUGCACCCUCUGUUGCCCUCAGAACAGCCUCAAUUUGUCGGGGCAUGGACUCUACAAGCUGUUAAAAGCAUUCCAUAAGGAUUCAAGCUGGUGUUGACUCCAAUGCUUCCCACAGUUCAAGUUGGCUGAAUGGCACACAUACACAAUCCAUGUCUCAAUUGUCUCAAGGCUUAAAAAUCUGUCUUUAACCCUUCCCCCCCCUCAUCUAUAUUGAAGUGGAUUUAACAGGGGACAUCAAUAAUGGA